AUGGAAAUAGAAGGAAAAUUAUUUUGCAAUAAAAAAAUAAGUCCAAUAAAAUAAGUCCAAUAAAAUUGGACUUAAUGCAUCACUCCCCAAUGUUUUGAAAAACUGCUGAGUAAAUUCAGUUCUUCAAAUGCACACCAUUCUGAUACUGAGUGUAAUUUCCUUAGAUUUAUUUUCUAUUUGUAUCACUUGGGUAAAAAUAUGUUAAAAGGAAAAUUAUUAAUAAUACUUUCAGUUCCCUUUCUGGUUUGUCCAGUGAGCAAUGAAUGUCGUAAUGCCAUUAAAAGAGAUCUUAUCUGAACUCGCAGUAAUAUAGUCAUUUGGAAAAUAGCUCAAGAGAGCUAUUUGUUUGUAUGAUAGCCAUUCAAAUUGUUUCUUCUUCUUCUUGCUUUAAAAUGCAACUUUGGCAGUUGAGGCUGUGACCAUAAGAAACCCAACUCCCUGCUGAAAUGUGGAAGGAUCAUAGGUAAGAAAUCCACUGUAGAAAGAAAAGAAGAUUAGUAACACAGUUAUGGAAGUUUUGCCCUCUAUAUCAUUUAGUCUAUGUGCUCAAAUGUUAUUACCAUAAUUUGUCUCUGUGGCCUAUAUGAAGCAAGUUAUGAUUAUCUCUUUAUUUUUAGUAGAUGGAGGACUACAUCAGACUAUAACUACAUGGGUCUCUACUCUGGGGGGUAGUGGCAGCAGGGCUUGGGACAACUGUGGAAGCUGUAUCACACUGGUGGUGGCUGCUGCUGUUCUUGUUGCUGUCCCUCUAAGCAAGUGCCCAAGGCUAGUGGCAUGGUCACUCACCCCUCAUCCACUACUAGAUCACAUCCCUAAGUAUGUGGUUAUCUUCACAGAGAGCACAUUCGAUCCUCUCCUUCCAGCACAUGGCAUACUGAAGCCAGCAAUCAAUAAGAUCAGUCCCAUUAGGUGCUGGGGACUAGGAGAAAUGCAUGAUAAUUUCCUGAAACAGUCUUUUCAGAAGGACUCCCUGGGGUUUGUCUACUUGCCAGCCUCCUGUAUGGCUCAUCUUCCUCCCUCCCAAAUACAAAGAGACACAGCUAGGAAAUGUCACAGCCAGAUUUAAAAAGAAAGAAAAGGGAAGAACAGGAGAGGAUGCUGGAAGGACAAGAGAUCUGGAAUCAGAAGCAGCAUGAUCUGCAAUGCUUAUUGGCCCCAACUGGCUGCACAACUGGCAUGAGACGAGCUAACAUGUGUGGUGCUUUCUUUGGUGUACCACUGCAGAGCAUGUGCCACAAAUGGUAUGAGCAGCCUGUGUGUGUGGCACAACAGAUCAAGAAGGGGAUGGGCAGAACAGUAGCAGACAAGGCAGGAAGCAGAAAAAGCAGCAGAUCCAGCAGGGGAAGAGGAUCAAAGUGGCACUCAAAGAUGGUACAGGGCUAACCCCCUAGAGGAGUGGGUGUUGGCCCCACUGGGAAAAAAGAAUUGAUUUAGGAUGCUUGUCUGCUGGCCUUCUGUCACACAAUUUCCCCUUUCAUCCUUAACACUCCCAACAUCUGCAAGUUCCUGACUUUCUCAGGGAGAGCUGGUGGCAUUGGGAGCACAAGCUAAGAACACAAAAAAUCAUUGCCAGCAAUGUGAGAUAAAGAGAGGAGGUGUGUAAUAUUUCCUAGUGCCCAGUGCCUCAGGCACUGGAAUGGACAUUAAUGGCACAUAGAAAUACAUCCCAAGUAUUGUCUAGCUCUGUCUGUACCUGCUUGUCAAAUUCCUGUUGGUCCUGACUCUUAGUCGUUCUUUGGUAACACUUGUGUAAGUUGUCCUGCCAAUAAAACCCAAUUGAAUUGAAUUAAUUACA
ensembl:lncRNA